UGUGGGCAAGUAAUCGGUGAAGAAAGAACUCAAUUUUGGAAUUAAUUCACAAAUAUCGCAAAAUAAUGGCACCACAGGAAAUCAAACAAGCUUUCUACCAAUACUAUUCAACUCUUCUACAUGCAAAUGAAGAACGGCUCAUUCAAGGGGACUGGGAGAUUCUAUAUGCUGAAUGCCCAUCCAACCUCACAGAGCUUGAGAAACCUUUCUCAACAAAGGAAAUGAGACAUGC
rnacentral:lncRNA from 1 species